AUGUACCUCAGCAGUGCAUUGGUCAAGCUGCGUGAUUGACACGUCUAUAGAACCGCCAGAGCCAGUAGAAUCGACGGACAGCAUCAAAGUCCCUCCCUAGGACACCAUUCCCUAUCUGUGAGGGGCCGAACCCACUGUGACGCGUUUUUUCCUCGACGCCAUAUGACAUGCGACUUCCGCCCGUGUAGUCUAAGUAGGACGGACCAGGCGGAGUAAUAUCUUGAAACUAUGAGCGCUCUUUGUGCUAGCUAACGGAAUCGGAUUUAUGGAUCAAAACACAACUUCUCCUGCAAAUACUUCGAUGCCCUCUCAUUUGUUCCUCGUGCCGUCAUGGGACAAAACGCUCAAGGCAAUUUCACCACCACCACACAGGUGCCCGCCCUGCCAAUGUUGAGAGGGACCUCCUACAGGAAGACAGAGAGCAUGCCACCUGCGACCCUUCCCAGCAUGCAUCCUGAAAUUCCUGGAAAUAGAACAGCAGGUAGCAUGACUGAGCUAAAAGCUCAAACACUAUUUGUAUAUUAUUAAUAAUAAUAACAAUGAUAACAAUAAUAAUUAUUAUAGUGUUAUAGUGUAUAGUGCACAGAAAGGUUAGAUACUCGCUUUGCAAUUUCUGAGAAAAUAUAAAUAUUCUUAGUUAAUGUAUAACUUUCUCACUUUAUUUUUUAAAUGAAAUAAGUGAAGUACAGUUGCCACGCAGGACACACUCACCAAGUCCAUGUCUGUGUGUUGACAUGGGCGGCAUAGUGGACCACACUUUACUGAUGGGAUUGUAGCACUCCACCAUGUUGGAAGUCUUGAGUCCAUCCCUCCCUCCGACUACGUACAACUUGUUGUCUAUCACCGCCACACCAAACUGCAGCCGACGUCCGUUCAUGACUCCUCCCUGGACCCAAGUGUUUGUCCGCAGGUCGUACUUUUCUAUGGUGGUAG